rnacentral:rRNA from 1 species
GUGUGCCUAUGGGGCGCAGCAGUGAGGGAUAUUGGUCAAUGGGGGAAACCCUGAACCAGCAACGCCGCGUGAGGGAAGACGGUUUUCGGAUUGUAAACCUCUGUCCUCUGUGAAGAUAAUGACGGUAGCAGAGGAGGAAGCUCCGGCUAACUACGUGCCAGCAGCCGCGGUAAUACGUAGGGAGCGAGCGUUGUCCGGAUUUACUGGGUGUAAAGGGUGCGUAGGCGGGUAAGGAAGUCAGAAGUGAAAUCCAUGGG